GACGAACGCUGGCGGCGUGCUUAACACAUGCAAGUCGUACGAUGACCCGGCUCUUCGGAGCUGGUGAUUAGCGGCGAACGGGUGAGUAACACGUGGGUGACCUGCCCUGCACUCUGGGAUAAGCCCGGGCAACUGGGUCUAAUACUGGAUACGACCAGUGGCCGCAUGGUCUGCUGGUGGAAAGCCCUUCGGGGUGGUGUGGGAUGGGCCGGCGGCCUAUCAGCUUGUUGGUGGGGUGAUGGCCUACCAAGGCGACGACGGGUAGCCGGCCUGAGAGGGUGUCCGGCCACGCUGGUACUGAGACACGGCCCAGACUCCUACGGGAGGCAGCAGUGGGGAAUCUUGGACGAUGGGCGAAAGCCUGAUGCAGCGACGCCGCGUGAGGGAUGACGGCCUUCGGGUUGUAAACCUCUUUCGGCAGGGAACAAGCCUGGGGGUUUUCUUCUGGGUGAGGGUACCUGCGGAAGAAGCACCGGCUAACUACGUG
rnacentral:rRNA from 1 species